rnacentral:pre_miRNA from 1 species
UUCAUACUCCCUCUGUCCGAAAAUACUUGUUCUCGAAAUGGUUGUAUCUAGACUUAUUUUAGUUAUAGAUACAUUCAUUUUAUCCAUUUUUAGGACAAGUAUUUCUGGACGGAGGGAGUACUAU